UAUUUAAAGGGGGGCUCAAGUUCACUGCAUGCUAAUCAUUAAUAAUGAAAUGAGGACAAAACUGUAAUGUGUUGACCUUUUUUUACACAAAAGUAUAACCAACUGAAAUAUUCACUAUCAUCUGAUUCUACCAGCCGAGGGUGCUAGGAGCAUCCGCCGUGAGAGCAGCCGCAGCACUCCACAGCACAUGUUCUAAAAAGGCUUUCAGUCAGCUCCCACGUUGCGUCUCCUGGCCAGGGUGCGCCCUGAGCAGAGAAAGCUCUUCAGCCCGGGCACCAGAGGAGGAUGUUCACAAGCAAAGGAACCUAAUCUUUCCCAGCAGGGAUCCAAGCGGCUCUUUUGGACCAAUGCAGGUGUUCUUGAUCUCUGUGCUGCACACCGUGGGUGACUGUGUAAACAUCCGGGACUCAUUCAGGAACUGACCAGACCACCACCAUCACUGUACCCUGGCCUAGUCAGAGCACGGUUCAUUUGCAUAUCCUGUUUCAUGACUAUUGCCUAUUGUCAGUGGCCUGGUGAUAAGUGGGGCACCUAUCUGAUGGACUUUACUGUUCUGAGAGAUCCAGAUGGCGGGAGCAGAUCCUGAGCGAUACCACAAUCUGCGGCUUUUUUAAGGAAUAACAAGAGACAUGCCAGGUGUUAAGUAGCCAUGAUUUUGCGUGUCAGUGAUUCCAAAGCAGAUAAUCAGAACACUGAUAAAGUGAGAGACAGAGAUAGCAGUAUGUAGACGUGGUUACUGUAAAGACCUCUGCUGGCUCAGCAUUUUACAACCCCUCAGAGGGCUUGGACAAGAACCAAAAGGAAUUUUUGAGUCUAGCAUUAAAUACAGUGAUGGAAAUAACUAAGCAUCACAAAGGAAAACUGCUACAGUACAUGUGGCUCUGUAGUCAGAGCCAUUAUUCCAUUAAGUAGCACUUGUAAAUACCAGCAUUAAAAUCAUUACAAUAUUAUCUUAGAUGACUCCAUCAUUCAAGCCGUCUUAAUGUACCUUCCCUCUCUGUGUGAGAAACCCUGUGAGAGUGGUAUGAGUCAGUCAUAAUGGUCAAUAUGUUUGUAUUAAUUCCCUGUUGACACUCAUACUUUAAGUAUUUGCUC
ensembl:lncRNA